rnacentral:lncRNA from 1 species
GAGGUAGAACUAAGACAGGCAAGGACAGCCCAGGAGAUGCGGGGGCCAGAACUAUGUAGGGCCAGGGGUAGAAGUAGGAGUAGAACCAAGAGUAGGGCCAAGAGCAGAACUAAGAGUAGAGCCAAGAGUAGAACUAAGAGUAGAACCAAGAGUAGAACUAAGAGCCAAGAGUAGGGCCGGUAGUAGAACUAAGAGUAGGGCCAGGAGUAGAACUAAGAGCCAAGAGUAGGACUAAGAGUAGAGUCAGGAGUAGAACUAAGAGCCAAGAGUAGAACUAGGAGUAGAGUCAGGAGUAGAACUAGGAGUAGGGCCAGGAGUAGAACUAAGAGUAGGGCCGCAAGGGAGUAAGAACUAAGAGUAGAGCCGGAGUAGAACUAAGAGUAGAGCCAAGAGCAGGGCCAGGAGUAAGAGCGCAAGCAAGUAGAACUAAAGAGGCAGGACCAGGAGUGGGGGGCCAG